UAGGGAAUAUUGGUCAAUGGACGCAAGUCUGAACCAGCCAUGCCGCGUGCAGGAAGACGGCCCUCUGGGUUGUAAACUGCUUUUAUAUAGGAAGAAACCUCACGAUGCGUUGUGAGCUGACGGUACUAUAUGAAUAAGGAUCGGCUAACUUCGUGCCAGCAGCCGCGGUAAGACGAAGGAUCCAAGCGUUGUCCGGAUUUACUGGGUUUAAAGGGUGCGUAGGCGGACUCUUAAGUCAGUGGUGAAAGCCCAUAGCUCAACUAUGGAACUGCCAUUGAAACUGGGAGUCUUGAAUUCGAUUGAGGCAGAUAGAAUAUAACAUGUAGCGGUGAAAUGCUUAGAUAUGUUAUAGAAUACCGAUUGCGAAGGCAGUCUGCUAAGUCGACAUUGACGCUGAGGC
rnacentral:rRNA from 1 species